rnacentral:rRNA from 1 species
AACGAACGCUGGCGGCAGGCCUAACACAUGCAAGUCGAGCGCGCCCUUCGGGGUGAGCGGCGGACGGGUGAGUAACGCGUGGGAACGUGCCCUUUUCUACGGAAUAGCCUCGGGAAACUGAGAGUAAUACCGUAUACGCCCUUUGGGGGAAAGAUUUAUCGGAAAAGGAUCGGCCCGCGUUGGAUUAGGAAGUUGGUGGGGUAAUGGCCUACCAAGCCGACGAUCCAUAGCUGGUUUGAGAGGAUGAUCAGCCACACUGGGACUGAGACACGGCCCAGACUCCUACGGGAGGCAGCAGUGGGGAAUCUUAGACAAUGGGGGCAACCCUGAUCUAGCCAUGCCGCGUGAGUGAUGAAGGCCUUAGGGUUGUAAAGCUCUUUCAGCUGGGAAGAUAAUGACGGUACCAGCAGAAGAAGCCCCGGCUAACUCCGUG